AACGAACGCUGGCGGCAGGCUUAACACAUGCCAGUCGAGCGCCCCGCAAGGGGAGCGGCAGACGGGUGAGUAACGCGUGGGAACGUACCUUUUGGUUCGGAACAACUCCGGGAAACUGGAGCUAAUACCGGAUAAGCCCUAACGGGGAAAGAUUUAUCGCCGAAAGAUCGGCCCGCGUCUGAUUAGCUAGUUGGUGAGGUAACGGCUCACCAAGGCGACGAUCAGUAGCUGGUCUGAGAGGAUGAUCAGCCACACUGGGACUGAGACACGGCCCAGACUCCUACGGGAGGCAGCAGUGGGGAAUAUUGGACAAUGGGCGCAAGCCUGAUCCAGCCAUGCCGCGUGAGUGAUGAAGGCCUUAGGGUUGUAAAGCUCUUUUGUCCGGGAAGAUAAUGACUGUACCGGAAGAAUAAGCCCCGGCUAACUUCGUA
rnacentral:rRNA from 1 species